rnacentral:lncRNA from 1 species
GGACACUGAAGUUGGCGGAUGGUAAAGGAGGAGGUGGGAAAAACAUCUUUUAUGAAACAAACAUUAAAUUACUAGAAAAAAAAAUCACUUAAAUUCACCAGGAAGGGUAACAGCUGUGAGUUUAUCCUUCCUGCAGCUCUGUCUCUCACAGCUGAUAUUGCUGAGGUGUCAUGAGCCUAAGAUGACCCUGAAUGAGUGACACCCUGAAUGAGUCUCCUCCCCUUGAGUGCAGAAGGAACCUGUGACUCGCUUCCAGCCUACGGACAUGACUUUACAUUGCAUAAGACUCUAUCUUUUUUUUUUUUUUUGAAAUGGAGUCUCGCUCUGUCGCUCAGGCUGGAGUGCCUGGUGUGAUCUCUGCUCAAGCCUCAGCCUCCCGAGUAGCUGAGAUUGCAGGCACAUGCCACCAUGCCUGGGCAAUUUUUUGUAUUUUUACAAAAAUAUAAAAGAAAUGGGGUUUCACCAUGUUGGCCAGGCUAGUCUUGAACUCCUGACUUCAAGUGGUCCACCCGCCUUGGCCUCCCAAAGUGCUGGAACUGCAGGCGUGAACCACUACGGCCCAGCCCAUAAGACUCUAUCUUAGCAGACAGGAGGAGGCGACACCCUCCUGCUGGCCUGGAGGAAGUGAGCUGCCUGCUGUGACAGAGUGGCCUGUAGGCAUCGAAAGUGGCCCCCGGCAUACAGCAGGCAAAAAAACAGAAACCUCUGUCCCACAAUGGGAAGUAACUGAAUUCUGCCAACAACGAUGUAAGCGAACCCUGAGCUUCAGGAAGGAAUGCAGUCUGGCAGACGCUUGAUUGCAGCCUCGUGAGAUCCUAAGCAGAUGACCCAGCUGAGCUGCACCUGGACUCCUGACCCGCGAAAACCCGAGAUAAUCAACACGUGUUGCUGAGAGAUGGCAGGCAAGCAGCUGCAGCCAUUCUUAACCCUGGCUACAUUAGGAUCACCUGAGGAACUUCUAAACCUCCAGACUAAGUCUGCCAUUAUCUCUGGAGGGAGACCCAGGCAUCAGUAUUUUUUAAAGCCCACCAAGUAAUUCCAGCAGGCAGUCACUGAACUACAGUGACCAGUGACAAACUGCCUUGGUUUACCCAGGGCUGGGGAGCUUCCAGGGACAUGGGACUUUCAUUGCUAAAGCUGGAAAAGUCCUGGCCAAACCAAGACACACUCCUCUCUGAUGCAACCUGACCCUUUUCAACAGCUGUACUUUGGAACAUUUGACUCACUUGAUCUGGAGGUGCAUGGGGACUCGGUUUCUCUGCCAUCCUUGCUCCCUGGGUGGAUUUGGUCCAUGAAACCCCAGGUGGAUUUGCUCCAUUCUGGAGAGGUCCAUGAAAACACUCCCUCACCGCCUAACUUCCAGGACCUAUAUCUCCUUCAUAUCUGGCCAACAGGAAUCUUCUCACCACUGCAAUGGGGCACCAAAAUAAAACCCCAGAAAACUGCACCCCCACCAAUUAGCAAGAGUUUCUCUUUCCAUCAGUUACCUGGCUGAACUGAGAUUCUCUCUGUUUGAUUGAAGGUAUUCCCACAGGCUUCCUCAUUAAACCAGUGGUUCUCACACUUCAGUGUGCAUCAGAAUCACCCGGAAGACUUGUUAAAACACACAUUCCCAGGCCUAGGCCCCAGAGUUUCUGAUUCUGUGCAUCGGCAGCAGGGCCUAAUAAUUUCUAUUUCUAACAAGCUCCCAGGGGACACUGGGAUGUGGCUGGUUUGGUGACCACACUUGGAGAACCACUGCAUUAACAGAAAGAAACCACAGCAGUACAGUGUAGCUUCUCUCCAGAAUAAAGGGAUUUUAAAAUUCACAUUAAGGAUGGAGCUGGAGGUCAUUAUCCUAAGCAAACUAACACAGGAACAGAAAACCAAGUACUGCAUGUUCUCAUGUUCUCACUUAUAAGUGGGAGCUAAAUGUUGAGUACUUGUGGACACAAAGAAGGCCACAGACACCAGGGCCUACUUGAGGGUUGGAGGGUGGGAGGAGGGUGAAG